CGAGGCCACGUCAGCGCCUCGACUGGCCUCCGACGGCAGCGGCGGCGGGAGCUCGCCGAGAACAACAAUCACCUCUUCUUUCCGAUCAGACCAGCAGUUUCUGGCAUUGGACAAUCCGACCUCGGAGUCGUCGUCAACGAGGUAGUCAAACGAUCCAAUGGAGUAGGAGCGGCGCGGGCUGGAGUUGGACGUCGUAGUUGUUUAGCGGCGGCUGAGGUUGCCUAUCUCGAUCGGCGGCGGUGGCGGAUUCUGCCAGAGAUACUCCGCGGCUGGAGACUCGGGCGGGGGCGUUGUGGAUGCAGCGGAGGAUUCGGUAGAGGAAGAAUGAAGUGACGAUGGUGACGACGACG
rnacentral:lncRNA from 1 species